AGGGGCCAGGGCGGUCUGGUUUUAUAGUCCCUUCAAGUGAAUCUGGGCCGUCGGAUCAAACCGACAUUGAUCAUGUGGUUUUCCUUGAAGUAUUAGGUCGGUGGAGUGUUGUCCCCGAAUUGGACUCUGUUUGGUCCAGGGGGGAGGGCGGGCGCCCAGUAAGGUAGGGCGGGCGCCCAGUGCCUGAGCCCUCUCGGCCUCCGCUUCGGUCCCGUGGCUUCUGGAGUCUUCUAGAUGGUAGAAAAUUGCGCAACACGUUAAUAUCUCUAUGUAAACCCGACGUGUGGGCCUUUCUUCCAUAUUUCCUGAUAACCCCCUGCAGAAAUAGACAAACACCAAAACUCGUGGAAUUCUGUCAGAUAAAACCCUAUGUCUAGGUGUUGGUUGCAUUUGGAUCCUUUUCUAUGAUUAGUUGAUGGUUAAUUGUGAGCAUUAAGGACCGUCAACAAGCUCCCCCAAGCUUAACCUUUGCUCGUCCCUAAGCAAAGAUGAACUCAAGAGUUUCUGCAGUGGUUUCAUAACUUAAAGAUACACAUGCAUUUAAACAAGAUCUCAUCUCUGGUUAGAGUAAACUGUUAAGACUUAAAACUUACUCAUUUACCUUUCACCAUGGGACUUGUAACCGUCACUUCUGUCUUGAGUAGUUAACAGAUAGAACAGUCUAGUCAAGCACCAUGUCUCUUGUUCUUCGAUUAACUAUAGCUCUGGAGUUUUUGCAGAUUUUCAAAUAAAACUAAGAGAUUCCUUGUAUGACUCUCUCUAGUCUCUCUUUUGUGGUAUUUCUGGAUCCUUACCAAGGCAGUAAUGGUAUAUGCCUUCUCUCAAAGUAUGUAGUAUUUUUGGUAUAAAGCAUAGUGGCAUUGCCUUCUCUCUCACCCUACUCUAAUAAGGCUUUAAUAUCUGGAGCUCAUAGGUGGGAGAUAAAGUAUACAUACUUACAAGAUGUGCAUGUAUUGUAUAGUCAAACCAUGGAUCCAGAAGAACAAGUCAAUAAGUCAAAUCAAGAUAUGCAUGUGUGGCGAAUGAAUGGUGUAUGGUGAUGAUGGUGAUAACAAUGGUGAAAGUCUAAUUCUACUUUUGCUCUUUUGAGGGGAUACAUACCUUUCUUGCUCUUUUGAAACUUUUUGAGGAGAAUGAGAUGCUCUAUAUUUUCUUUUUCUUUUCUCUCAGGUGGGUAUCUUGUACCCCUAAUUCUCCAGAAUUCUAGCAUCUCUAGGAACAGAUAAACAACAGCUCAACCUUCCCAUAUCAUAUCUGUUAACGACUUAGACUUCAGAUCAAGUACUCUUCCCACAAGUUUAGGUUUAGAGCAAAUCUUAAUUAAUAACAGUCAUGUCUAAACUUGAGAGAGAUUUCAAUUUUGAGAACUAGUCAUGGCAGAGUAACUAUUCAUCAUUUCCAUAUGAGAGCUUAUCAUGAGGGUUCAUAGCAGACUUUAUUUAUUUAUUUAUUUAGCUAACUAAGCAAAGAUAUCUAAGAACAAAAUCUUUAUUUGGGUUUUUAUGAUUAUGCAUCUUUUUAUUAUUUGAGUAAAGUAUAAUCGUGAGUAGAAUACUUAGCUGGAUAAAUGGGGGUGCUCUCCCCCAAGCUGGAUUUGACGUAGUUUCUUCUAAUGUAGCUAGCAAGUGGUGGAGGUGUAAUUGAAUGUCAGCAGCACCCUGACAGCGAUUAGGAUGUCCUCCGUCUGCUAGUCUUCUUUGAUCCUUGAAUUAUCUUGGCAAGACGUUCGAUGUUUUUAAAUUCUCCGAACGGGACUCUCCAUUUUCUCAGUUGUCCUGGGAUUCGCUGGAUGGCAUAGUCGAUGGUUCCGGCAGAGCCUGCUCUUCGUGUAUAACUAUCUUCUCUCUCCACACCUGACUCGGUACUACGGUCUCCUCAGGACAGUUCUGUUCAAGCUGUAUGUCUUCAGACCUUACGACUUCUCCUUCAUAGUCUGCCCAUCCGUCCUUGAUGAUUUGCCUUCUCUGGUUGCGGUUGCGUCGUCUUCUUCUUGCCCUGACCUGCUUAGAGUCUUCAACUAUAUAGUUAGGGUUAGUAAAAUAGCAGCGUACCUUCUCAGAGGGGAAGUGCAUGUGGACUUCUCCGGUUCCAAUGUAGAUGAUUGCUUUAACCGUGCUGAGGAAUGGUCUUCCAAGGAUGAUGGGUGGAUCGUACUUGUCUUCUCCCAUGUCAAUAACCUUAAAAUCAUCUAGAGCUGAAUGUAUGUUGGUAGUAGGUACAUGGUUCCAUGCAGGAGCUGAUAAGUGACUGCGGCCAUUAUGUUGACGUUAGAUCCGGUGUCGUAGAGUGUCUUCUGAAAAGAAUAUCCGUUGAUUGUGCACUCGAUGCUUGGAACACCAGGGUCGUCCUUCUUGAUCAAGAAAGGUGACUUGAGUUGACGAUCUUGACCUCCUUGAGCUGCAGUGACCAUCUUAGCUGACUCAGUACACAUUUGCUUGUUCCUGUUCCUCCUAUUGGUCCUCUUCCUUGGUUCAUGUCGAGAUUGCUCUGGGAUUUGUGUAGUCUUGUUCUUGAAGGAAAACAUCUCCUUCCGUCCCUUGAUAUAGAAAUUGAUCUUGGCAGCACUAGCGUAGAUGACAGCUCAUGAGGUGUUCAGGAAUGGCCUCCCUAGGAUGAUGGGUGCCCUCUCAUCAGUAUCAGUCUCUAUCACCACGAAGUCUGCUGGGGCGUACAAGGUACCAACUCGGACGUAAAGGUUCUUCAAUAUUCCCCUGGGCAUAAUGUUGACGCUGGAGCCAAAGUCGCAGAGUGCUUCUGGGAAGUCCACCAUGCCGAUGGAGAUCGGGAUGACGGGGCGUCCUGGAUCGCCUCUCUUGACUGGCAGAAGGUCAGUAAUUACUUUCCACGGGUUACUCUAGUAGUUACGUCCUCAAGCAUCUCAGGGCAGUGAUUGCCUGAGUGUCCAGUCUCUCCAGUGUGUUUGUGCUCGUAGAUCUAGGUUCUUCACUUGGUGGAGUCUGGGAGUUGUAAAAGUCCUUCAUAUUUUGCUCGAAGUGUACCUGCUCAUAGAGACAAGGCAGAGAUCAAGUGCAUGGGCUCUGUUGGUGGAAAACACCAACAGAACCAAAAGUGUAUUUGUUCUUCUCUAACCUCAAGCAUAGUGAGCAAGACAAAGUUGAUGGAUAAUAAAAUCAUGAGUGUAGCAUUUAAAACAUUUGUCAGACCAGAUAGCUCAACCUAAUGGAAAGAUAAUCUAUCUAUACUUAUGUUGUUUGUUUUUUUAUAUAUAUCUUCCAAAGAUUGAGUGUGCAACAUUUUAGCUCAUAUGAUUAAGAGUGUGGGAUCACAAAGGUAGAAGGACUAAACAUAUUGAAUCGAUUGGGUUGGUUAAUCUAGAGUUGUAAAUCUUACAUGUUUGUCUCUUUUACUAAUGUGAAAGCCAGAAAUAAGGAGAAGCUUAUAGAAGUGAUAGUCAAGUACCUUAAGAUGUUACCUUACUUGAAGAGUGAUGGUACAGUAUCACCUUGUGGAAGCUUUCCUUUCUUAUCGGUUGUGCAUCGUGUUUGUGGCACACUCCAUGGAUCAUCACUUGUGAGCUAUGCCUUCCUUGUGUAAAUUGUUAAACUUCAUGUGUCUCUCUCUUUGUCUCGAAUGUGAGUUUAUCUCAGGACUUCUCAGGUCGAUAUUGAAAGUUUUCCUUGUGCUUGUCAUUCAUCCGAUCUUCUUGCUCCAAUCCUGAAAAGGUUAGUGACAAGAAUACCCGAAGAAAUAGUUUUACAAUUAUCCUAAUAUGCUCAACACACAAGGUAAUGUUGCAAAUAAUUAAAAGCUCAUGUUAUGAUCUGAUCAGUGCUUGUUUUAGGACACUAAGCUUGUCCUUGGGAAACCAUUAAUUUAUGUCGGCGAAGUGGUUUCCCCUCCAACGCUGACCUAUAUCAAGAUCAACUCAAUGAGAUCUGCAAAAUUUAGUAUAGACAUAUGCAUCGACAACCGCCCUUUUAAAGUUUUUAUAAAUUGAAAGGAAGUGGGGGUUGGAGAUCUCGAAUGUGGUGAUGUUGGAGAGACUAAUGGAUUGUGAAGAUAUUGCAUAUGAGCAUGGAGUAAAUGAAGUGGCUAUGAAAUAAAUUCCAUGCUCAUUAAUGCUUAGAGUGAAAUCCAUGUGGUGUGGUGAAAAUGAUAAGGUGAGUCUGGUAAAAAAGGAAAAGAAAAAGGAUACACGGACGACUUGGUUCGAAACUAGCACAGCUACCGUUCCCUGGCAACGGCGCCAGAAAGCUUGUUUGGUAUUUUAAACGCAAACAGAAAAAUCCGCAUGCGCACGGAUACCGAUGUAGCUUUCACCUGGGAGUAUUCCAGAGUAUCGAUUUUCCACAGAGAACGUGAGUGUACUAAUUAAGAUCCAAGAUCGCCCAAGGAUAACUAUAUAAUUAUUUUUGGUAGGAAGAGAGGAAGUUUCCUGAGAGUUCUCUAGUUGAUCUAAGAAUCAAGAAUUACUUCAAGAUUAUCUUUUUCGGGACAUCAGAACACUAACCACAGAAAGAGAUGAGAAGGGGGCUAGGAAGCUCUGACUACGGUCCUACAAACACCGAUCCGAACGAGGUGGAAUACGUCGACCGUUAGGGCUGUCACUACCCUAGGGCUACCACAACAAUCCGCAGGAUUGGGUGCAAUUCCAGGUAAUUGCAAGACUAAACACCACGUCUAAUCUAUUAAUUACUACUCUAAUGUUUCAAAGAUUAUAGCACUCGAUGCAAGCGGGAAUCCAAUAAAUAACUUGAAUGUAAAUAAAAGUAAUUAGAGAACUCAGGAAUUAUGAAUUGAAGAACCUGGAGAACGAUGAAGAACGAACCAGAUGCUGCAAAAGUAUAAUGUUGAGGAAGAUCCGACAGAUCCGGCUCCUCCGCUCUCCUCUUCUCUCUCCCUAUUUUCUAGAUUACAACUAGAACUAACUAGAACUAGAAGUAGAAGAACUAGAACUAGAACUAGAUGAACUAGAACUAGAUCUAGAUGAACUAGAGGUAGAACUAGAAGAACUAGAGGGAUCCUCUCUACUUGGAUGAAGAAUUGAAACCAUAAAUUUGAUUUUGUAGAAGAGGUAUGAUCUCCAGGGGCCAGGGGGGUCUGGUUUUAUAGUCCCUUCAAGUGAAUCUGGGCCGUCGGAUCAAACCGACAUUGAUCGUGUGGUUUUCCUUGAAGUAUUAGGUCGGUGGAGUGUUGUCCCCAAAUUGGACUCUGUUUGGUCCAGGGGGGAGGGCGGGCGCCCAGUAAGGUAGGGCGGGCGCCCAGUGCCUGAGCCCUCUCGGCCUCCGCUUCGGUCCCGUGGCUUCUGGAGUCUUCUAGAUGG
rnacentral:lncRNA from 1 species